GAGUUUGAUCCUGGCUCAGGACGAACGCUGGCGGCGUGCCUAACACAUGCAAGUCGAACGGAGAUAUGAUUUCGGUUGUAUCUUAGUGGCGAACGGGUGAGUAACGCGUGAGCAACCUGACCUUCAGAGGGGGAUAACACUCGGAAACGAGUGCUAAUACCGCAUAAGACCACGACCCGACAUCGGGAUGAGGUCAAAGGAGCAAUCCGCUGAGGGAGGGGCUCGCGUCCCAUUAGAUAGAUGGCGGGGUAACGGCCCACCAUGUCGACGAUGGGUAGCCGAGCUGAGAGGCUGAUCGGCCACACUGGAACUGAGACACGGUCCAGACUCCUACGGGAGGCAGCAGUGGGGAAUAUUGGGCAAUGGGCGCAAGCCUGACCCAGCAACGCCGCGUGAGGGAAGAAGGCUUUCGGGUUGUAAACCUCUGUCCUUGGUGACGAAAAAAAUGACGGUAGCCAAGGAGGAAGCCCCGGCUAACUACGUGCCAGCAGCCGCGGUAAUACGUAGGGGGCGAGCGUUGUCCGGAAUUACUGGGCGUAAAGGGUGCGUAGGUGGCCUUUUAAGUUGGAUGUGAAAUCCCCGGGCUUAACUUGGGUGGUGCAUCUAAUACUGGAGGGCUAGAGUGCAGGAGAGGGAAGCGGAAUUCCUAGUGUAGCGGUGAAAUGCGUAGAUAUUAGGAGGAACACCAGUGGCGAAGGCGGCUUUCUGGACUGGUACUGACACUGANGCACGAAAGCGAGGGGAGCAAACAGGAUUAGAUACCCUGGUAGUCCACGCGGUAAACGAUGAAUACUAGGUGUAAGGGGUAUCAACUCCCCCUGUGCCGGAGCUAACGCAAUAAGUAUUCCGCCUGGGGAGUACGGCCGCAAGGUUGAAACUCAAAGGAAUUGACGG
rnacentral:rRNA from 1 species